rnacentral:misc_RNA from 1 species
AACGCACAUUGCGCCCCCUGGCAUUCCGGGGGGCAUGCCUGUCCGAGCGUCAUUGCUGCCCAUCAAGCCCGGCUUGUGUGUUGGGUCGUCGUCCCCCCCGGGGGACGUGCCCGAAAGGCAGCGGCGGCACCGUGUCCGGUCCUCGAGCGUAUCGGGCUUUGUCACCAGCUCGACUAGGGCCGGCCGGGGGCCAGCCGACGUCUCCAACCAUUGUUCUUCAGAUUUUCCUCGGAUCAGGUAGGGAUACACGCUGAACUUAA